UUAGAGUUUGAUCCUAGCUCAGGAUGAACGCUGGCGGCGUGGAUAAGGCAUGCAAGUCGAACGGAUCAGUCCCAUGAAUGUUUGAAAGACUUCGAGUAGCAAUACAAGAAGAAUGGAUGAUUGGAUUGGGGUUUCUGAUUAGUGGCGAACGAGGUAGUAAUACACAGGAACGUACCCCAAAGUCGUGAAUAAUUCAUCGAAAGGUGGACUAAUACACGAUGGUCUCGCAAGAGUAAAGUUUUAACGCUUUGGGAGCGGCCUGUGCGAUAUCAGCUAGUUGGUAGUGUAAUGGACUACCAAGGCUAUGACGUCUAGGGGAGGUGAGAGCCUGACCCCCACCGAUGGAACUGCGACACGGUCCAUACACCUACGGGUGGCUGCAGCCGAGAAUAUUCCGCAAUGGGCGAAAGCCUGACGGAGCGACGCCGCGUGAUUGAUGAAGUCCCUCUGGGACGUAAAGAUCUUUUGUCGGGGAAGAAAUUAUUGACGGUACCCGAAGAAUAAGAGGCUCCUAAUCUCGUGCCAGCAGGAGCGGUAAUACGAGAGCCUCGAGCGUUAUCCGGAAUCAUUGGGCGUAAAGGGUGCGUAGGUUGUUCUGUUAGUCUUUUGUUAAAUUCUGGGGCUCAACCCUAGAGAAGCAGGAGAUACGGCAGAACUUGAAAGUGCGAGAGGUAUACGGAACUCAUGGUGUAGGGGUGAAAUCCGUUGAUAUCAUGGGGAACACCAAAAGCGAAAGCAGUAUACUGGCGCAUGUUUGACACUUAAGCACGAAAGCGUGGGUAGCGAAUGGGAUUAGAUACCCCAGUAGUCCACGCCCUAAACGAUCUUCUCUCGGUUUUCGGAGUAUCGACCCUCUGAGAGCCUUAGCUAACGCGUUAAGAGAAGCGCCUGGGAAGUACGGCCGCAAGGCUAAAACUCAAAGGAAUAGACGGGGACUUGCACAAGCAGUGGAUUAUGUGGUUUAAUUCGAUGGUAAACGAAGAACCUUACCAGGGUUAGAAAUCAACGUGAAAUCCUACAGAAACGUAGGCCCUCGCAAGACUAGUUGACAGGUGCUGCAUGGCCGUCGUCAGUUCGUGGUUUGAAUUGUCCCCUUAAGUGGGUUAACGAACGCAACCCUCGUUGUGUGUUACAAGUGUCACACGAUACUGCCCACGCCUAAGCGUACGAAGCGUACGCAAAGUUUAAAUGUUUAAAAAUUUUAAUAUUUAAAUCUUGCCUAAAUUCGCUUCGCGAAUUUAGGCGUGGGAGGAAGGAGAGGAUGACGCCAGGUCAGCAUGGCCCUUGAUACCCUGGGCUACACACAUAAUACAAUCGCCAUUACAACGCGCAGCGACGAGGCAACUCUGAGCAAAUCGUUUAAAAAUGGCGCCAGUUCGGAUUGGAGGCUGCAACUCGCCUCCAUGAAGCCGGAAUUGCUAGUAAUCGCGGGUCAGCUAAACCGCGGUGAAUACGUUCUCAAGUCUUGUACUCACCGCCCGUCAAGUCAAGGGAGCCGGGAGUACCCGAAGUCUCUACAUAAGUAGGGCCUAAGGUAAGUUCGGUAACAGGGACUAAGUCGUAACAAGGCACGGCUAGCGGAAGCUGGUCGUGGAUUAAUUCAA
rnacentral:rRNA from 1 species